GCAUGCGCGUGUGUAAAAAAAGCGGAAGUCCAAUUGUUUGAAGCGGGAUACAAUAAACAUGUGGAAAAGAAGACACAGAGGAAAGCCUGGGCACAGAAUCCUAGAUUCUUUUGAUAAGGAUGAUUUUUAUGCUGGAAAACGAAUGUUCAAGGCAACCAGAAGCUUGAGUCCAUCCUGAACAUAGAGACAACACAGAUAUUAGCCAAGCUAGAUAUUGCUAGAGGAUUAGUCAAUGCAAUUCAGCAAGGACUAGUGAUGGAUAUGUUCCAGGUUCCACAGCUAGGAGAAUGUCAGGAAGAAAAGCCUCAUCAUUAAAAGUGUUACAGCAUCUUCAGAUGGUGAAAUGUCAAGCAAAAAGUGCAUUCCAAGCCCUCAAGAAGUUGUGUCAAGCCCUAGUCGUGAAGGCAUUCCAGAUCUAAAGAGUAGAAAUGGACCUAUAUGUAUGGUUUUAUUGAUGAAAAUAUGCCAUGCCCCAGUGACAAAGGUGAACCAGUUUCUAAAAAUGGAGAUGAAGCUUGACCCUGGAAAGAAAGCAUGUCUGUCUCUAAUGAUAGAGAUGUGACUUUAUCCAGGGACUGAGAUCUGCCAGUUCUAAAUGAAGGAGAUUUGCCAGGUGCUGAUAUUACUGAUAUCCUACAUGUGGGUCCCAUCUGCUCAAGGUUCCAAUAGUGAAAAAUCUUGGUUAGGAAUGAAGUGUCAUCAGAGGCACUAAAGGAAACUGAUGGCAUUGUUUUUGAGAAUAAGAGUGAGGAGGAGAUAGAUGACAGUCAAGACAAUCAGGAUGUCCAUAUUGUCACUCCAGGGAAGAAGAAGUCAUUUCUGAUCCUAGAUCUACUUUGGAAGAUUCUACAUGCAAGUGACAAGAGAUACAAAAAAAUCCCAAGGACAUCACGAGAAAUGAAUUUAAUCAACAGACAUUGCGGAAAAAAUUUUAUAAAAAAUUGUAAUAGGACCUUAGAGAAGUGUAAAACACCAAGGAUAUAAUCUUGUUAAAAAACAGAGAAAAUCAAUAUUAACAUUCUACUUUCAAUUGAUAUGCUUUGAGAAAUAUGAUAAACACUGUGUUUUAAAGCCACAGUAAUGGAGGACAUUGAAUUCUUUGCAGCAGUUUUAUCAUUAGGCCAUUUCAAUUUUUUUCUGUUUUUAGUGUCUGUGGAUGGAUUGGUUUUGAGGUCAUGCAAUCAAGAACAAACACAAAAUGAAAUUGACAAAUACAAAUCUUUGACAAGCAAUUUACUCUUCUGGGAUCAGCAUCUCUCUUUUUUGAAAGUGAUGUGCUCAAGUUUUUUUUUUUUUUUUUUUUUUUUUUUUUUUGUUUCAUUAAACUAGUAGUAGUAGUAGUUUAAUUUAGCUAUAAUAUGAGGAAAAUUCUCAAAGAACUUUGCGUAAAAUGUUGUUUUUUCCCCUUUUGUUUUGUAAUUUUUUUUUGGAAGGAAAGAAAUGUUUUGAAAUUUAGGUUGGAUGCUAAACAAAGAAAAAAACUUGGAAUGGCCUCAUAUAACCUACAUGGACUAAACUGGCAUAAAUGAAGAGUGCUUAAGAAGCUGUGCAUGAUGUAUGUAGGAAAUGAUUUUGAAGUAUUAAAUAUUUUAUGCAAAAGGAAA